UACGUAGGGGGCAAGCGUUGUCCGGAUUUAUUGGGCGUAAAGAGCGUGUAGGCGGCCAGGUAGGUCUGCUGUGAAAACUCGAGGCUUAACCUCGAGCUGUCGGCGGAAACCAUCUGGCUAGAGUCCGGAAGAGGAGAAUGGAAUUCCCGGUGUAGCGGUGAAAUGCGCAGAUAUCGGGAAGAACACCCGUGGCGAAGGCGGCUUCCUGGACCGACACUGACGCUGAGGCGCGAAAGCUAGGGGAGCAAACGGG
rnacentral:rRNA from 1 species